rnacentral:rRNA from 1 species
AGAGUUUGAUCAUGGCUCAGGAUGAACGCUAGCUACAGGCUUAACACAUGCAAGUCGAGGGGCAGCAUUUUUAGUUUGCUUGCAAACUAAAGAUGGCGACCGGCGCACGGGUGAGUAACACGUAUCCAACCUGCCGAUAACUCUGGGAUAGCCUUUCGAAAGAAAGAUUAAUACCGGAUGGCAUAGGAUUAUCGCAUGAUAAUCCUAUUAAAGAAUUUCGGUUAUCGAUGGGGAUGCGUUCCAUUAGG